rnacentral:rRNA from 1 species
GAGUUUGAUCCUGGCUCAGAUUGAACGCUGGCGGCAUGCCUUACACAUGCAAGUCGAACGGCAGCGGGGGAAAGCUUGCUUUCCUGCCGGCGAGUGGCGAACGGGUGAGUAAUACAUCGGAACGUGCCCUGUAGUGGGGGAUAACUAGUCGAAAGAUUAGCUAAUACCGCAUACGACCUGAGGGUGAAAGUGGGGGACCGCAAGGCCUCAUGCUAUAGGAGCGGCCGAUGUCUGAUUAGCUAGUUGGUGGGGAUUCAUUUCCUUAGUAACGUAGCUAACGCGUGAAGUUGACCGCCUGGGGAGUACGGUCGCAAGAUUAAAACUCAAAGGAAUUGACGGGGACCCGCACAAGCGGUGGAUGAUGUGGAUUAAUUCGAUGCAACGCGAAAAACCUUACCUACCCUUGACAUGCCACUAACGAAGCAGAGAUGCAUUAGGUGCUCGAAAGAGAAAGUGGACACAGGUGCUGCAUGGCUGUCGUCAGCUCGUGA